UGCGGCAUUGAAGAUCCAAACACAGAAACCGAAUCCUGAGGUGCAGCUUAAAAGCACAAAAUGUGUCGAAAAGACGACAGUGACAAGAAAAGCCAUGCGUGAGUAUUUGUUUAGAAACC